UACGUAGGGUGCAAGCGUUAUCCGGAAUUACUGGGCGUAAAGCGUGUGCAGGCGGUUUGUUAAGUCUGCUGUGAAAUCCCCGAGCUCAACUUGGGAAUUGCAGUGGAUACUGGCAAGCUGGAGUACGGUAGAGGAAGGUGGAAUUCCCGGUGUAGCAGUGAAAUGCGUAGAGAUCGGGAGGAACACCAGUGGCGAAGGCGGCCUUCUGGACCAGUACUGACGCUCAUGCACGAAAGCGUGGGGAGCAAACAGG
rnacentral:rRNA from 1 species